AGUGAACGCUGGCGGUAGGCCUAACACAUGCAAGUCGAACGGCAGCACAGUAAGAGCUUGCUCUUACGGGUGGCGAGUGGCGGACGGGUGAGGAAUACAUCGGAAUCUACUUUUUCGUGGGGGAUAACGUAGGGAAACUUACGCUAAUACCGCAUACGACCUACGGGUGAAAGCAGGGGAUCUUCGGACCUUGCGCGAUUGUAUGAGCCGAUGUCGGCUUAGCUAGUUGGCGGGGUAAAGGCCCACCAAGGCGACGAUCCUUAGCUGGUCUGAGAGGAUGAUCAGCCAAACUGGAACUGAGACACGGUCCAGACGACUACGGGAGGCAGCAGUGGGGAAUAUUGGACAAUGGGCGCAAGCCUGAUCCAGCCAUACCGCGUGGGUGAAGAAGGCAUUCGGGUUGUAAAGCCCUUUUGUUGGGAAAGAAAAGCAGCAGGUUAAUACCCCGCUGUUCUGACGGUACCCAAAGAAUAAGCACCGGCUAACUUCGUG
rnacentral:rRNA from 1 species